ACACUCUCCCCUCUUCAAAAGAGGAGGGACUGGAAAGGAAGGAGUCCAAUCCUUAAGAGAGAUGGGAGAAGGACAGAGAGUCUCGGUCUCCGAGGAUAAGUCCAGUCAAAAGUACAGUACUUUGUUUUUGCCGUACACAAGAGCCAGUUCAGAACCAACGCGCUGUCCCGAAGGAGUAGCAACGGUAACGGGCCCAGGGCCCUAAACCCAAGCUGUGCCCCAACCAGAGGCACUAUCCCCUAUUCUACAGUUCCGAUAACCUUACCGUCGGACUCUGCCCGAACCAGCAGCGACAUCCCCUUGAGCUCCUCCACGCUCGCACGGGCUGUCCUAGCAGGGGCUACGGCGGCCGACAAGUCCCAU
rnacentral:lncRNA from 1 species